rnacentral:rRNA from 1 species
GACGUAGGGCGCGAGCGUUGUCCGGAUUUAUUGGGCGUAAAGAGCUCGUAGGCGGCUUGUUGCGUCAGCUGUGAAAACCCGCAGCUCAACUGUGGGCUUGCAGCUGAUACGGGCAGACUUGAGUUCGGUAGGGGAGACUGGAAUUCCUGGUGUAGCGGUGAAAUGCGCAGAUAUCAGGAGGAACACCGGUGGCGAAGGCGGGUCUCUGGGCCGAUACUGACGCUGAGGAGCGAAAGCGUGGGGAGCGAACAGG